rnacentral:snoRNA from 1 species
UCGCCGUGACGAUUUGUUUCUUACCUACUAAGACAAUGCAAUGGUUACUUAUACUCGUACUGUCUGAGCAC